UUUUAUAAGGCAAACGAAAGGAGUUCAUGGCGCACUGCGGCAUCAAAUUGGAACAGGACGGCGGAUAUUAAAAUCGUCCUCGACUUACGUGAAAUAAUGUGCCAUCGCUACCAACGUCGUCGUCGCAAUAGCAAAAGUGGAUAUAGCUUGGGUUUUAGCCUAGGGAUAACUAAAGUUCCAGAGAUUCACGGGGGUUUUUAGAAGAAAUGAAUAAGCUUUAUGGGGACACAGCUGGCCAGGGAACAAACAGCCGUCAUAAGAGUUUUUAUUGUUGCCGAAGCAAUGUGCAUGGUAUACACAGGUUCAAAUGCAAAUCAAGGCUUAUAGUAAAUAUAUUUGUUUAGUUUGGGCGUGUUCUCGAUCAAAAAUAAAUAAAAAACGAGCAAACUGACACUGGCGACUGCAGCAACAAAAACAACUUAGGAAACGAGAUAUGGAAAAGAUGAUAAAAGACACCCUCGCGCUAAAGCACCCAGAGGAAUUGACUCGCGCACUUAAUCGCUAUUUAACUCCACUGUGCAUGUGCGUAUGUCUAUGUACCCUUGUCUGUAAAUACGUCUGUAUUCCCCAAUUCUUUGAUGUUUUCGCACUUUGAGAUUUUCAAAAAUAGCUGACGCUUGUAAAUAUCUUUUCGGCGAAUCGAUUUGUGGUGCGCGUACAAAAGGAAAAACAAUAAACCACAGAAUCACGCACAAAGCCCUGUAAAUGGUGGGAGAAAUUUAGUGCGACCCAUUGGGCCUUCAAAUACCGCCGGCAGUGAUGGGCGAAACCUUCAAAGAUGAGACGAUGGAGAGCAUUUGGAUGAAUUCCUAUUCUAAUAUUUUGGGUAAAAUAUUUAAACGGGGGAUUGGGACGAAAUUGACUGGGUGAAAGAAAUAAAUAACUAAUAAAUAUUCAUUCCAAA